GUGUAUUUGAAAAGGAGAGCAGGUUAGCACUCCCCUUGAUAAGGACGGAAUUCACAUAUACGGGUGAGGCACUGCCGAAAGGCAUCCACCCAUGUUUGC